rnacentral:rRNA from 1 species
UACGUAGGGGGCUAGCGUUGUCCGGAAUCAUUGGGCGUAAAGAGCGUGUAGGCAGCCCGGUAAGUCCGCUGUAAAAGUCAAAGGCUCAACCUUUGAAUGUCAGUGGAUACUGCCGGGCUAGAGUCCGGAAGAGGCGAGUGGAACUCCUGGUGUAGCGGUGGAAUGCGCAGAUAUCAGGAAGAACACCAACGGCGAAGGCAGCUCGCUGGGACGGUACUGACGCUGAGACGCGAAAGCGUGGGGAGCGAACAGG